GUAGAUAUAGCUCAGUGGUAGAGUGCAUGCUUAGCAUGCACGAGGUCCUGGGUUCAAUCCCCAGUAUCUCCA
rnacentral:tRNA from 1 species